rnacentral:rRNA from 1 species
GACGAAGGGGGCUAGCGUUGUUCGGAAUUACUGGGCGUAAAGCGCGUGUAGGCGGUUGCCAAAGUCGGGUGUGAAAGCCUUGAGCUCAACUCAAGAAAUGCACUCGAUACUUGGUGACUAGAGGACCGGAGAGGAUAGUGGAAUUCCCAGUGUAGUGGUGAAAUACGUAGAGAUUGGGAAGAACACCAGUGGCGAAGGCGGCUAUCUGGACGGUUUCUGACGCUAAGACGCGAAAGCGUGGGGAGCAAACAGG